rnacentral:rRNA from 1 species
UACGGAGGGUGCGAGCGUUAAUCGGAAUCACUGGGCGUAAAGCGCGCGUAGGCGGCGCGUUAAGUCAGAUGUGAAAGCCCCGGGCUCAACCUGGGAACUGCAUUUGAUACUGGCGUGCUCGAGUCCGAUAGAGGGGGGUGGAAUUCCAGGUGUAGCGGUGAAAUGCGUAGAUAUCUGGAGGAACACCGGUGGCGAAGGCGGCCCCCUGGAUCGAGACUGACGCUGAGGUGCGAAAGCGUGGGGAGCAAACAGG